rnacentral:lncRNA from 1 species
AUGAAAACUGCUUAUGAAGAGGUUACAACUGAAUUAGAAGAAUUUAAGGAAGCCUUUGCAGGAGCAGUGAAAGCUAACAAUUCCAUGUCAAAAAAAUUAAUGAAAUCGGAUAAGAAAAUAGCAGUGAUCAGCACCAAGCUCUUUACGGAGAAACAGCGGAUGAAAUAUUUUCUCAGCACUCUUCCUACAAGGCCAGAACCAGAGUUACCUUGUGUUGAAAAUCUUAAUAGUAUAGAACUCAACAGAAAAUAUAUUCCCAAAACGGCCAUAAGAAUUCCUACUUCAAACCCACAGACUUCAAAUAACUGCAAGAACUUCUUGACUGAGAUGGAGCUGGACCGUGUAGAACAAAUAAUUACAGGAACAAAGAAAAGUUUUGCUAUGUUGAGCACUUGCUCCCGUCUACUUUCUUUUGUAGAAUCCACUGCACCAAGGAAGCACAGGCGAGCCCUUCCCAUCAUGCGCUCACUAGUCCCCAACAGAAGAACCACUGUCGCAUCCACUGAGAUGUCUCAGCUGCUCUACAAGGGAGUCCCAUUUCAGAGCAGGACAAACAGGCCCGGUGGUGUCAGGAGCCCAGGUCUCCAGCUGGAGGGAACGUCAACCCUGCAGUGGGAGCAGGGGCCCAUCGCACAUCCUAGGCACAGAUGCUAA